rnacentral:rRNA from 1 species
UACGUAGGGUGCGAGCGUUGUCCGGAAUUAUUGGGCGUAAAGAGCUUGUAGGCGGUCUGUCGCGUCUGCUGUGAAAAUCCGGGGCUCAACCCGGACUUGCAGUGGGUACGGGCAGACUAGAGUGUGGUAGGGGAGACUGGAAUUCCUGGUGUAGCGGUGAAAUGCGCAGAUAUCAGGAGGAACACCGAUGGCGAAGGCAGGUCUCUGGGCCACUACUGACGCUGAGAAGCGAAAGCAUGGGAGCGAACAGG